rnacentral:rRNA from 1 species
AUUGAACGCUGGCGGCAUGCUUUACACAUGCAAGUCGAACGGUAACAGGCCGCAAGGUGCUGACGAGUGGCGAACGGGUGAGUAAUGCAUCGGAACGUGCCCAGUCGUGGGGGAUAACUACUCGAAAGAGUAGCUAAUACCGCAUACGAUCUAUGGAUGAAAGCGGGGGACCGUAGGCCCCGCGCGGUUUGAGCGGCCCAUGUCAGAUUAGGUAGUUGGUGGGGUAAAGGCUCCCCAAGCCAACGAUCUGUAGGUGGUCUGAGAGGACGACCAGCCACACUGGGACUGAGACACGGCCCAGACUCCUACGGGAGGCAGCAGUGGGGAAUUUUGGACAAUGGGCGCAAGCCUGAUCCAGCAAUGCCGCGUGCAGGAAGAAGGCCUUCGGGUUGUAAACUGCUUUUGUACGGAACGAAACGGCUCUGGUUAAUACCCGGGGCUAAUGACGGUACCGUAAGAAUAAGCACCGGCUAACUACGUG